rnacentral:tRNA from 1 species
GGGCUCGUAACUCAGCGGUAGAGUACUUCCUUCACACGGAAGGAGUCAGGUGUUCGAUCCACCUCGAGCCCACCA